rfam:Gossypium raimondii Chr03_contig_282, whole genome shotgun sequence.
AAACCAUGCAUCGGGCAUUUUCUAAGUAAUUCUUUGAAUCUCUCCCAAGCUUCAUACAAAGUCUAAUCCUCGAAUUACCGAAAAGAUGUAAUAUCAUUCCUUAACUU